ACACAUGCAAGUCGAGGGGCAGCAUGGUCUUAGCUUGCUAAGGCCGAUGGCGACCGGCGCACGGGUGAGUAACACGUAUCCACCUGCCGUCUACUCUUGGACAGCCUUCUGAAAGGAAGAUUAAUACAAGAUGGCAUCAUGAGUCCGCAUGUUCACAUGAUUAAAGGUAUUCCGGUAGACGAUGGGGAUGCGUUCCAUUAGAUAGUAGGCGGGGUAGCGGCCCACCUAGUCUUCGAUGGAUAGGGGUUCUGAGAGGAAGGUCCCCCACAUUGGAACUGAGACACGGUCCAAACUCCUACGGGAGGCAGCAGUGAGGAAUAUUGGUCAAUGGGCGAGAGCCUGAACCAGCCAAGUAGCGUGAAGGAUGACUGCCCUAUGGGUUGUAAACUUCUUUUAUAAAGGAAUAAAGUCGGGUAUGGAUACCCGUUUGCAUGUACUUUAUGAAUAAGGAUCGGCUAACUCCGUGCCAGCAGCCGCGGUAAUACGGAGGAUCCGAGCGUUAUCCGGAUUUAUUGGGUUUAAAGGGAGCGUAGAUGGAUAUUUAAGUCAGUUGUGAAAGUUUGCGGCUCAACCGUAAAAUUGCAGUUGAUACUGGAUAUCUUGAGUGCAGUUGAGGCAGGCGGAAUUCGUGGUGUAGCGGUGAAAUGCUUAGAUAUCACGAAGAACUCCGAUUGCGAAGGCAGCCUGCUAAGCUGCAACUGACAUUGAGGCUCGAAAGUGUGGG
rnacentral:rRNA from 1 species